AUAUUCUACAAAAGUAUCCAUAUCUAGAAGAUAGAGAGACAAUUAAUAUUGCUAAGUGCGAAAGAGAUAUCGGA
rnacentral:tRNA from 1 species